GGAAAUUCGCGGAUUCUCCCGUUUGAGAUUUAACAGUUUUUGAAAACAAAUCUAAUUUUAGAGGCGAAAUCCUGUCAAGGCGGCGAAAAUUGAGGAAAUUUGAGGAUAUUGCCGGCACACGCGUUUUAAAUAAAGCAAUUAAAGUAAUUCAUUACUGUUAAGCACAAAAAGUCGAGGGUGAAUUGGGCGGAAGAGGCAGAAAGACGCAUUAUUUGCAGGAACUAGAAGUUUAUUUGGGCAUCCUGUUCCAGCGACCGAGAUGCCCGAUGGCACAGUAAAUCAGCAUGCUGGGGAUCUUUUAGAAGAGAGCCUAAACAAAUUGCGGGCCUAUUACCAGGAUAAUAAUGUUAGUAAACAUGCAGCUGUGGAGAACUUCUCCAAUUAUCCGCAAGUGCAGUCCUAUUAAUAACGACUCCGACUUCUUCAAUAAAGCUGAAAUCUGAUAAAAGAGGAAGAAUCUUAAGAAACGCGCUCUCUCCCCGACUAGAGUGAACUCGACCCGCCCGGCCCGCUAUCUAAUUACAUGGCAAAGCUACAGAUGCGAAAACAUGGCGAGCCAACUUUACUAAUGAGUGGCAUUUUUCCGCGCCAUUCAUCCGCAUACCAAAAUUAAUGUAUCAAUGCACAGGCAUUGACGCCGAUCCACCAAGUCAGUCAUCUACCAACGCGGAGAGGCUUUCUAGAUGACUUGGGUGCUUGCAAACUCCAUCCCCAUAAAUAAAGGCAAUCGGAAGGGUAGGAAUUAUGAAAAGUGCAAUUGGAGCGUUCAUUAUGCAUAGUAUUGGUGUGUCUGAAUGUCCCGAGAUAAGCCGGUCCGACGGUUUCUCUGACGUAAUGAACGCGGAGUGAGUUGCGGAGGAACUGGUCUAGCAAUUUUCCGGCCCACUGCUCCUGCUUUUCUGUCCGGCGAAGAUCUUUAGUCGAGACACACACAAGGAGGACGAAGCUCACAGAAGUGGCUUUCCGCCCCAGUACGGAGACAGGGAUUAAGAUCAACAUCUCUGACUCCAACCGUUCGGUGGACAAAACGGAUGAGUUUGCGCCUCUCCGCUCCAUUAAGUGCAAACCUGUCUGAAUGUGUGUUCUGGACUGAUAGACGAUGUUCUGCGGCCGAACGAUAAACUACUGUAGACUGCAGGGCUCUUCCGGACCACCGAGAUUCGCUUACACUUUUCGCUCGGUCGCUUCGGCAACGGGUUCGAACUCUGACCCCGUCCGUGAGCUUUCUUUCUCAACCCUCCACCUCUCCCUUACUUAACAGGACAAAGACGUCCGGUAAUUGAGACGUCCGUCCCAAGUAACAGAUAGGGACGGUUAUUCUGCACGAUCUCGUCGUAUCUCGCUUACUUCGUGAUUAUUCGGCGUGUUGGAAUGAGAUGGGGAGGAGCCUCGGGCGCGCCAUCUGGGAGGAGGUGAAUGUCCGAAGACCCGACAGCAUCCGAAAGCGACCCGCAGCACACUUAUUCACAAAUUAAAAAAAGUGCCCUCUCGAUAAGCAUCUAGGGAUCCCCAAAGCCCCGUGAUUAACGCUUUAAAGGCGAAUAUUCUCUGCAGCCACCGUUUCGCGUGACAGCACACCGAAUGUAUUUGAAUUAGCUCCUUUGGUGGCCUACUAAUGAUUAAGUUCCAGGGUUAUCUGGGAUUUCGCGUUAAACCGAGAGUCGGGUGGUGAAAAAAACCGAAAAGCAUUUGUUCUAUUGGGCGGCACUUUAACAUUUACAGUACGGGAAGUGACGUCACAAAACGAGUGCCAUCUGGCCAACAUCGUGACGAUAAACAACGCAGUAAUGACGUUAAGAUGGUGGCACUUAACGCCGAAUAGGGGAGUGAAAGAGCGUUCGAGCGACGAUUGGUUCCACCGCUAGGCAUUCCCAUGUCCGACUUACGACUAGUUAGCCUUAAUGGGUCUCACGUUUCUUCAAUCAUGGCGGUCUAUCUGCGAGACAGCUGGCAGUCCCACUUCAAAAGCGGCCGUUACCGUUUUUUUUUCCCCUCUUCUCCACAAACGGCUGAUAUAACAACUUCCAAGAACCAUAUGAAUAGUGGGCCUGAUAUCGACCGAUUUGCACGCGGCUGAUGAUGAAGCCCCGAUCCCGCUCUUUCUCGGUAAAAUCCCUACUGACCCUUUGGUAAAGAUCCAAUCUUCUAUCACUCGCCGCCGACUCCCGAAAUAUUCUCGGCGGUCCCAUCUCGACAAAGCCUGGGGGACACGUGACUACGGGUAUGACAAAUAGGGGUCCGCAAAUAAUUUUUUUGUCCCACAUACUUUUCGAAGGACUCGCUCUGCCGAAAUUUCAAGAAUUUUUGAAAU
rnacentral:lncRNA from 1 species